CAAAAGACCCUUAUAUAUAGUUUAAGUUUGGUGUUGAGUAUUACUCUUUGUAUUAUGUGUUUUCUGUUCAGCGUUACUUUUGUCCCUUAAGGGAUACCGUAGUUAGGGCAGUGAUGACGUCAACACCUUGCCGUAGCCAACGUUGCUGGUAUCUGGUGGGGAAGUUUGGGUAACCGAGCCGCUGUGCUAACACGUGGGAAAGACCACAAGAUAUGUGUUCUCCUUAAGAGUGUGCGUCAUUGAUGAGAAACCACACACACACCUUCAUGUAGACACAUUUAUGCCCAUCCGUGUUCAGUGGAUUAUCUGUGAUACAGUUUGGAAUACAGAACAGUUAAAGGAUCCUGCCUCGUGUCUUCAUUAAACUCCUGGUGCACCUCAUCCAAACAUCUGGUCCUGAGCUGAAUCCUGGCCUGAGUGGUGUUCUGGCCGACACUCCAGGUUGAGAGCGGUGACAAACCUGAACAGCGCCUAACAGUCCUUCAACUUUAGAACAAACUCACUUACAAAA